rnacentral:lncRNA from 1 species
UUGAAGACAGGCCCUGCCAAAAAGAGGAGGGGGCUCCAUCACACAGCUCCCUCCACUUCAGCACUGCCACUCAGAGAAACGAGUCUCCAGUAUAUGAACCUUGGGGCCCACAAGUGAGAAAGAAUCUGUCCUAUGCUGAAAGAAAGGAGAAGUUUACUGAGGACACAUUUAGGAUCACAUCUAGGAAGAAGGGGACAAUUGUGAAGAGGUCUUCCCACUGGCUGCACUGGCCCUAGGCUGCGACUCUGCAACUCUGAAGCCUUCUGGAUUUCGUUACCUGUUAGGCAGAUAGUGACCAACUCCAGGUCAUCUCCAGGCAGAUGCUGAAUACAUAACAGUAUGUGUACUACUGUUGUUCCGGGGAACACCAUGUUAGCCGAUACUGGUGCUAUUCAGACUCUUCGAGCUACAGCUGAUGUUUGGCUUGGGAUCUCCGCAUCUGUUUUCAACCGCUGUUGGAUGAAGCCCCUCAGAAGACAGUUUUGCUAGGCUCCUGAAGAUUUAAAGCCUUCGCUGCUCUGUAGCCAAAAGGUGGAUGCUGCAAUGCGUCAUGGGAAGAUGGCUUAUGGUUCAGAUGAAUUCACCAUAAUCCUGCAGAAACCUUACUCUUUAAUCCUCUAAUGACAAUGUCGCUAAACAGAAGCCACUGCUGCCAUCAUUAAUACAUCCACACAUGACCAAGCUAA